UGCCUCGAAGCUUCGGCGCUAAUCGCGUCGGAGCGCAUUUAUUAGUACAAAACCAAUCGGUCGUUGGCUGUUAAGCCUUCGGCCGCCAAAGGUUGGUGAAUCGGAAUAACUAUGCUGAUCGCACGGUCCAGCACCGGCGACGAAUCUUUGAAAUGACUUGCUCAUCAACUUUCGAUGGUACGCUACGUGCUUACCAUGGUGACAACGGUUAACGGAGAAUCAGGGUUCGACUCCGGAGAGGGAGCCUGAGAAACGGCUACCACAUCCAAGGAAGGCAGCAGGCACGCAAAUUACCCACUCCCGGAUCGGGGAGGUAGUGACGAAAAAUAACGGAACGUAUCUCCAUGAGACGCGUUACCGGAACGACCGAGCCGUACAUAAGCUCGGCUAAAUCUAUUGGAGGGCAAGUCUGGUGCCAGCAGCCGCGGUAAUUCCAGCUCCAAUAGCGUAUAUUAAAGUUGCUGCGGUUAAACCGCUCGUAGUUGGAUUGCGGUCGACGACGACGGUCGUCCUAAGC
rnacentral:rRNA from 1 species